AUGGUACCAAGUGUGGAAACUUUUGGUGUCACACUCUUUUGGUUGCUUCCACAUCAAUUUUCUUACAAGUUACAAGCAAUUGACUUCUAUUUUGCAAGAAUUCUGAUCUAAGACCCAACCAAAAAACAGUCCCAAAUCUCAAGCCAAACGAAAAACAGUCACCGAUCAUCAGGAGGAGGAAGAACUGGUUAGCAAGUAGCUGAAUCCAAACUAGCUUAUAGUGCAUAUGGACCAGAAUGCUGCUAUUGAAGAGGCAAAGGGUAAGACACAUGGCUUUGAGUUCGUGAAGUCGGUUUCAGACAAGAAUCUUGAUAUUUUGAGGUCUUCGUUUCACUGUUUUUCAAUGUUCAAAGGGAAUGCAACAAAUUAUGAUGACUGCGAGAAAGAUAGGUAUAUUCUUGUGAGAGAUGCAGAUGACUUCCAACAAGGGAUUUAUGCUAAACCUCUUCCUUGCUUUGGCUGCGGGGUUGGAUGGUUUUCAUUCCUACUAGGGUUUGCAUUUCCAUUGAUGUGGUACUAUGCUACAUUUCUCUAUUUUGGAAAUUACCACCGAAGAGAUCCUAGGGAACGGGCAGGUCUUGCUGCUUCUGCAAUCGCUGCAAUGGGGUUUUCUGUUGUAUUGCUGAUCAUAUCAGCAAUUCUUCUAUUCUAAUAUGCAGAGGUUGACACCUUGUAGAUGUUAAUCUUUUCAUACAGAACCUUCAAAAUAUAGUAAAAGAUAACCUGUAGGAGGUCAUGACUUCAGGGUCCUUUAACAGCCGCUGUCGACGAAGGACAUUGACUAUCAGAAAAUACAGAAGCUGCCAAAGGAAGUAAGCAAUCAAUGGAACCGUGAAUAGCCAUGUGCACAGGAAAGAUUUGUCUUCUAUCUGACGCCAUGAACCACCUUGUACACUUCCCAUAGGAUGCAUGGCUUCGAAGAAGGCCGGAUCCCACCAGCACAUCGUGAAGAAUACCACACCUGCAGAUUACACGAAAAACAUUGCUCGAGAAAAAACCACUUUCCUACAUAAGAUCUCAUCUUUGUUUAUCAUCACAUCAUGAAAAUGAACUUAUAAAACUAACAUGAGAAAUGGAUUAUAAAAAUGAUUGUAGAACUAAGAUCAAAGACUUUAGAUGAUUUUGGUGCUGUAAGAGGGCGUUGUGUACAGCUAAAACUUUCUAAAUGAAAUAUCUAGCUAUUAUGAAGGUUAUUAUAUUGUUCCA